rnacentral:misc_RNA from 1 species
CUUGUACACACCGCCCGUCACACCAUGAGAGUUUGUAACACCCAAAGUCGGUGGGGUAACCUUUUAGGAGCCAGCCGCCUAAGGUGGGACAGAUGAUUAGGGUGAAGUCGUAACAAGGUAGCCGUAGGAGAACCUGCGGCUGGAUCACCUCCUUUCUAAGGAAUUAAUCGGAAACCUACACAUUGUCGAAACUUUGUUUAGUUUUGAG